AUAUUUAGUUCAAUAAAUAAUCGAUCUUCUGCUCAACUACAUAGGUCCUGAAGGUAAUAUUGGGCUGCCUGGAUGGAAAGGAGAACCAGGAAAAAGAAUAAUAGCUCCAAUUAGCCGAUCUCCGUAUGAAGAUGAAGUGUUCGUGGAAAAGAUCAAGCUGGGGUGGAAAGGUUACAAGGGCCGUGGGGGAGACCCGGCCCUAAAGGUGACAAUGGCGAGCAGACGGACUGUCAGUGCUCUGUUCACGAAGAGAAGUGCGGGGACUGGUGUGGGCCGAGGAAAGGCGAAAAGGGGAAACCAGGAAUACCAGGUUUAGAUGGACUUCCCGGCCUGCCUGGGGAGAAAGGGGAACCCUGGAACGCCGCAGAAUUCUGAGAGGGGAGAUAACUGUGGUCGCCAUCCUGUAGAGAACAAUAAAUAAAGUAUUGUAAGACGACACAGCUUA